rnacentral:rRNA from 1 species
AACGAACGCUGGCGGCAUGCCUAACACAUGCAAGUCGAACGAGACCUUCGGGUUUAGUGGCGCUCCGGUGCUUAACGCCUGGUAACCUGCCCUUAGGUUCGGUAUAACUCCCCUAAAGGUGUCCUAAUGCCGGUUAAUCUCUUCGCACCAAAGAUUUAUCGCCUUUUGAUGGGCCCUCGUUGGAUUCGCCAGUUGGUAGGGUAAAAGCCUAUCAAGGCGAGGAUCCAUAGCUGGUCGGAGAGGAUGAUCAGCCACAAUGGGACUAAGGCACGGCCCAGAAUCGUAGGGGAGGAAGCGGUAGGGAAUAUAGGAGGCGGGGCGAAAGCCUGAUACAGCAAUGCGGGGUAAGUGAGGAAGGAGUUAGGAUAGUAAAGCUGUUUUACACGGGAUGAUAAUGACAGUAACGGGUGAAUAAGCACCGGCUAACUCCGUG